rnacentral:rRNA from 1 species
UACGUAGGGUGCGAGCGUUAAUCGGAAUUACUGGGCGUAAAGCGUGCGCAGGCGGUCUGUUAAGACCGAUGUGAAAUCCCCGGGCUUAACCUGGGAACUGCAUUGGUGACUGGCAGGCUUUGAGUGUGGCAGAGGGAGGUAGAAUUCCACGUGUAGCAGUUAAAUGCGUAGAGAUGUGGAGGAAUACCGAUGGCGAAGGCAGCCUCCUGGGCCAACACUGACGCUCAUGCACGAAGGCCAGGGGAGCAAACGGG